rnacentral:ncRNA from 1 species
UCCGUGGUGACACGGAAUCUGAAGGAAGCUCUAGGCAAAUCCUCGGUCUGAGGUACACGAAUCACAUUCGAGGUUUCCGUUUCAGGACGAGUUAGCAGAACAAAACAAAGUCCAAAAUAUCUCCGGAUGAAACGGGAAUAAAUGUGGCGGAUAUUUGAGGAGAAAGUGAAUGAA